AAAGUGCGAUAAGCACUGUGACUUGCAGAAUUCAGCGAAUCAGCAGAUCUCUCAACGCAAAAGGUGCUAGGUGGACUUGUCCGCUUGGCAGGCACAUUUCAACGUCGUUCUAUUUGCAGUCAUGAAUUGGCAACCCAGUUUUUGACGUGCAUUUUUGUCAGCUCGCUGACGAUUAAUCCGCUACCUCAACUGGCGGAUGGAUAAAGCCAGCAUUACUUACUUGUAAUUAAUGCAAGGCUAUAUAACUCCAUCGACUUGAAAUGUGCCAGACUACCCGCUGAACUUAA
rnacentral:misc_RNA from 1 species